AUGGGGUUGGGGUUUGGGGUGGGGAAUCGCUGCCAUCCCCAAUCCUUCCCCCACCCUCUGCUCCCCCCGCAGCUCCCAUCCAAGGUGGCGCAAGCUGAGGGGGUGUCGUGUGUGUGUGUGUCCCCCCCCCGGCCAUCUCCUGUCCCUCUGCUGCAGCCAGCUCCAAGCGCUGCCAGGCUGCACCCUCUGCUGGGGACAGGAGGCAGCGGCAGGGGACAGCCGGGGGGGACACGGGGGCAAACAGCAGGGAAAGAGGUGCUGCCAGGUGCCUGGGGGGAACGGGGACACGAAGGUGACCGCGGGUCCUGCUCCCUGCUGUCACCCCUCGGUCCCCAACCCUGGCUGAGCAGGGGACGGAGCCGCCAGGCGCAGCCAGUGCGGGGACACCGCGAUGAAGCGCUGCCACCAGGACCCCCGUUUGGUCCUCAGCCAGCUCUGGUGGGGCUGGGGAUGUCCCCAAGGCACCUCUGUCCCGGCUCUGGUCCCCUCCUGCUGUGUGCCAACCCCUGGGGCGCGGGGACCCUUGGGCACGGGGACGCACCCGGGCGCAUUGCAAGCGAGGAGCGGGCAGCAGGGCACGGGGCUGGAGGAGGGGGGCUGCACGGCUCCCCGAGCCCACACCGGCCAAACCCUGGCAGUGCCACGUCCUCAUCCAGCUCCUGGGAAAGGCAGCAGCCCCUAAUCCCCGUGCCGAGCAGGGGCAUUGUGCGGGGGCAGAAAGGAAAGCGGUGCGUCAGGCCCUCGACCCAUUGUGCCCCUGAGCCCCUGCGCAAACACAGCCCGGCACUUGCAUUGUCAGCGCCGGGGAGGGGGGGGGGAAACAAGGGGGGGGAGCCGCUCUCGCCACGCUGCCUGAGUGGAAUGGACAGCGGGUGGGCACCCCGGCACCCCCCCACCCCGCUGACACAGCGCCUGCCCCCCCUGCCACCCCCAUUUCGCCUAUAUAGGGCCCGGGGAACAGCCGGCACCGGCACCGCCACCUUCGCCUCCGUGCCCUGUGACCGAGUAAGUACCAGGCUGUGA
rnacentral:lncRNA from 1 species